UUGAUGGGGGCCUUAUGGCCCGAUAUCCGGUGAUCCCGGCUGCCGAGAAAAGCUUCGGCGUCAGGCUCAAAGCCGCCCGUACCCCAAACCGACACUGGUGGUCAGGUAGAGAAUACCAAAGCGAUCGAGCGAAUCCUGGUCAAGGAACUCGGCAAAUCACUCCCGUUCCUUCGGUUUAAGGGAGACCCCCGAUGGUGAACACACUUGCUGUGGGAGCUUUUGGGGGUGGCACAGACCAGGGGGUAGCGACUGUUUACCAAAAACACAGGUGCAUGCGAAGGCGCAAGCCGCUGUAUAUGCACUGACGCCUGCCCGGUGCCGGAAGGUUAAGAGGAUCCGUCAGCCUUCGGGUGAAGCGGUGAAUUCAAGCCCCGGUAAACGGCGGUGGUAACAAUAACCAUCCUAAGGUAGCGAAAUUCCUUGUCGGGUAAGUUCCGACCUGCACGAAUGGCGUAACGACUUCCCCACUGUCUCGACCAGGAGCUCGGCGAAAUUGCAGUACGAGUAAAGAUGCUCGUUAAGCGCAGAAGGACGAAAAGACCCCGGGACCUUUACUAUACCUUGGUAUUGGCAUUCGGUGUGGAUUGUGUAGCAUAGGCGGGAGGCCGAGAGGCGCGGUCGCCAGAUCGCGCGGAGCCGUAAGGUGAAAUACCGCUCUGUUCGCAUUGGAUGUCUAACCUCGAACAGUCAUCCUGUUCAGGGACAGUGCCUGGCGGGUAGUUUAACUGGGGCGGUUGCCUCCCAAAGAGUAACGGAGGCGCCCAAAGGUCCGCUCAGCCCGGUUGGCAAUCGGGUGGCGAGUGCAAGUGCACAAGCGGGCUUGACUGCGAGGACGACGGUCCGAGCAGGGACGAAAGUCGGGACUAGUGAUCCGGUGCCGGUGUACGGACGCGGCAUCGCUCAACGGAUAAAAGGUACCCCGGGGAUAACAGGCUGAUCAUUCCCAAGAGUCCAUAUCGACGGGAUGGUUUGGCACCUCGAUGUCGGCUCGUCGCAUCCUGGGGCUGGAGCAGGUCCCAAGGGUUCGGCUGUUCGCCGAUUAAAGCGGCACGCGAGCUGGGUUCAGAACGUCGUGAGACAGUUUGGUCUCUAUCCUCUGCGCUCGUUGGAAUGCUGAGGAGGCCUGCCCAUAGUACGAGAGGACCUGGGUGGACGAACCUCUGGUAUGCCGGUUGUCACGCCAGUGGCACGGCCGGUUGGCUACGUUCGGAAGGGAUAACCGCUGAAAGCAUCUAAGCGGGAAGCCUGCUCCAAGAUAAGCAUUCCGUGGAACCUUCGAGUUCCUGUAGUCCCCAUGCAGAACACGUGGUCGAUAGGCCGGACGUGGAAGCCCCGCGAGGGGUGGAGCCGACCGGUACUAACGGACGAAAGGCAGC
rnacentral:rRNA from 1 species